rnacentral:other from 2 species
UUUCCCCUGCCUUGUUGGUGAUCUGCAGUUUGUUUCGAGCCAACACGACUGUUAAGGGUGACUCCACUAUCUUGGGAAAGGAUUUCGAUGCGUCGAAUUCCUCGAAUGAGGUAAGAGUUAAGAACACCCACCUAACUUGAUUAGGUUCGAUGUCGCUGACGACACCGCUAUGGCGGGGGAUUU